AUUGAACGCUGGCGGCAUGCCUUACACAUGCAAGUCGAACGGUAACAGGUUAAGCUGACGAGUGGCGAACGGGUGAGUAAUGUAGGGGAACGUGCCCAGUCGUGGGGGAUAACUGCGCGAAAGAGCAGCUAAUACCGCAUACGACCUGCGGGUGAAAGCGGGGGAUCGCAAGACCUCGCGCGAUUGGAGCGGGCGAUAUCAGAUUAGCUAGUUGGUGAGGUAAGGGCUCACCAAGCCGACGAUCUGUAGCUGGUCUGAGAGGACGACCAGCCACACUGGGACUGAGACACGGCCCAGACUCCUACGGGAGGCAGCAGUGGGGAAUUUUGGACAAUGGGCGCAAGCCUGAUCCAGCCAUGCCGCGUGCGUGAAGAAGGCCUUCGGGUUGUAAACCGCUUUUGUCAGGGAAGAAAAGGUUCUGGCUAAUACCUGGGACUCAUGACGGUACCUGAAGAAUAAGCACCGGCUAACUACGUG
rnacentral:rRNA from 1 species